rnacentral:lncRNA from 1 species
AGCACACGCUGACGUCUCUGUGUCCUCUUUUUCAUGGCCAGCACAGCGCACGAUGGGCUACGCAGCUCCCGGUGGGGUGCUCUUGGUGGUGCUGACGAGCAGCUUCCACAUAAAGAACAUCCACCAUCGCCACGGUGAGAAGCUUCUCUGCAACAGCCCUUCCACAUGGCCAUCCGGAGCUGGAGCCGCUCAAAGAAAAUGCAAAAGAUUGCUUUUAUUUUUCAGGACAAUUUCACUUUUUUAUAUAGGACGGCUGCACGGCGUUUGUGGACGUGACCGCCCUCGCGGUGAGCAUGGCGGCAGUGUCAGCCCUUCCGCUCCUCGCCAUCUUCCUCUGCUAUCACACCACACAGGGGUGGCAGAACGAACGUGACUCCAGCUGUGCCGAAAAGGAGAGGUCCUCCAGGUCCUUUGAAAUGUCCCUGCCCAACAUCAAGGAUCCUGUUCCCACCUGCUAGACACUGGGGGUGUUUCACACUUGGCUGACUCAACCCAAUUUCUCCCCAACACUGAGUUUCAGUAGGUCUGAGUCUCCAGUGUACUGGUGAUAAACAGCAAUUAAAAUAAUUAAUUCUGCCUUUUUCUUUUUUUUUAUUUUUUUAUACAAUGCAUAACUGGAGGGUCCAAAUGCACACUUCCUCUUUUAUUUUCCUCUUUAAAACCAGGACAUGGGGGAGAGAAGGGCUUUUAAGAGUAGUUGCAAGUGUCUCUCUCAGUAGUUCAUUGUAUCAAUGCGGAUGCAGCCGUGCAGUUACCCACCCCUUCCUUCUGGUGUGUGAGGCCACACUCCACUGCUCGCUCACUGUGUGCAGAUGAUUUCAACGUGCUUUGGAAGGGGAGCAAUGCCGAGUUGGCUCAAGUUAGUUCAAGUUUCAGCAUAACUGGAGGCUGACACAUAACGAGAUGUCGAAUAUUUUGUUCUCAUUACAAUUUUAACUACAAGAUUUAUUUUAUCCUAAAGUGAGUUUAUACCAUAUCAAUGCUGAUUGUGCCUUGGGGAGAACAGAGUUCAGAAAAGAAAGAAAAAAAAAAAAAAAAAAACAAAAAAAACCUACUAUGAACAACUGCUGAAAACAGCAGCUGAGAAUAGGAAGGAGGAACACAGACAGAAACAGCCCUGCAGACACAAGGUGAGUGCAGCAGGAGGGCAGGAGGGGCUCCAGGCACACAGCAGCAGAUCCCCUGCAGCCCGUGGAGAGGAGCCCACGCAGGACCAGGGCAUCUGGGGGAGCUGCUGCCCACAGGGUACCCACGUUGGAGCAGUUUGCUUCUGAUGGGUGCACCCUGUGCUAUGGACCCGUGUGUGGAGCAGCUCCUGGGGAGCUGCAUCCUGUGAGAAGCACAUCUGGGAUCAGGUUGGGCAGGAUACGUUUUAUUGGAGGAACUCCACACUGGAG